AUGGGAACGCGAAGAACCUUACCUGGUCUUGACAUCCACAGAACUUAGCAGAGAUGCUUUGGUGCCUUCGGGAACUCUGAGACAGGUGCUGCAUGGCUGUCGUCAGCUCGUGUUGUGAAAUGUUGGGUUAAGUCCCGCAACGAGCGCAACCCUUAUCCUUUGUUGCCAGCGGUCCGGCCGGGAACUCAAAGGAGACUGCCAGUGAUAAACUGGAGGAAGGUGGGGAUGACGUCAAGUCAUCAUGGCCCUUACGAGUAGGGCUACACACGUGCUACAAUGGCGCAUACAAAGAGAAGCGACCUCGCGAGAGCAAGCGGACCUCAUAAAGUGCGUCGUAGUCCGGAUUGGAGUCUGCAACUCGACUCCAUGAAGUCGGAAUCGCUAGUAAUCGUAGAUCAGAAUGCUACGGUGAAUACGUUCCCGGGUCUUGUACACACCG
rnacentral:rRNA from 1 species